rnacentral:rRNA from 1 species
GUAACGCGUGGGAAUCUGCCCCUUGGUUCGGAAUAACAGUUAGAAAUGACUGCUAAUACCGGAUGAUGACUUCGGUCCAAAGAUUUAUCGCCAAGGGAUGAGCCCGCGUAAGAUUAGGUAGUUGGUGAGGUAAAGGCCUACCAAGCCGACGAUCUUUAGCUGGUCUGAGAGGAUGAUCAGCCACACUGGGACUGAGACACGGCCCAGACUCCUACGGGAGGCAGCAGUGGGGAAUAUUGGACAAUGGGCGAAAGCCUGAUCCAGCAAUGCCGCGUGAGUGAUGAAGGCCUUAGGGUUGUAAAGCUCUUUUACCAGGGAUGAUAAUGACAGUACCUGGAGAAUAAGCUCCGGCUAACUCCGUG